UGGCUCAGGACGAACGCUGGCGGCGUGCUUAACACAUGCAAGUCGAACGAGAAUCUGCUGAAAGAGUCUUCGGACAAUGGAUGUAGAGGAAAGUGGCGGACGGGUGAGUAACGCGUGAGGAACCUGCCUUGAAGAGGGGGACAACAGUUGGAAACGACUGCUAAUACCGCAUGAUGCAUAAGGGUCGCAUGAUUCUUAUGCCAAAGAUUUAUCGCUUCAAGAUGGCCUCGCGU
rnacentral:rRNA from 1 species